UACGAAGGGGGCUAGCGUUGUUCGGAAUUACUGGGCGUAAAGCGCACGUAGGCGGAUCGAUCAGUCAGGGGUGAAAUCCCAGGGCUCGACCCUGGAACUGCCUUUGAUACUGUCGAUCUGGAGUAUGGAAGAGGUGAGUGGAAUUCCGAGUGUAGAGGUGAAAUUCGUAGAUAUUCGGAGGAACACCAGUGGCGAAGGCGGCUCACUGGUCCAUUACUGACGCUGAGGUGCGAAAGCGUGGGGAGCAAACAGG
rnacentral:rRNA from 1 species